AAGGGGCAUGGCAUCGAACCCCGACCGAGGAGAUUGAAAAUGAGGUUAAUGUGCUGGUGGUGGAUGAGUACAUUAGGAGAGUUUACAAUGCGAUCCUCAACAGCACAGCAAUCCAGGCCAUCGGCCCUGUAGUAGCGAUGCUAUUGGUCGAGCAGGCGCAGUCUGUGGUGCUGAUGCAUCGUGCGCUGGACAAGGUGAAGGAGAAGUGGGAGCGCACGCAGGAGGAGCUGAAGGAUUGCCUGAAGGCCAAGUAUCCCGUGAAGUCACGCAUCGGACCGUGGAUGAGAGACCAGAUGCACACUUAGAGGAACAGUUUGGUUAGCCGUGG